AUUAUUUUAUUUAUUUAUGAUCGCUGAAGAGGAAUAUUAAGUAUGCUCGGGGCGGAGAGCCGACUGGAAAGUCGGCUGAAUAGGCUGGAGGUCCUCAUGAAGAAUCCGGAGUCAGUGUUAAACCUGGGAACACUGCUGGAUUCCAUAAAUGCCUUGGCUCACGAUUUGAACUACCCAGCUCUGCGGAAGAACAAGAACAUCGAAACAUUUCUGAGUCGAUAUGAAAAAGCGGUCAGCCAGCUGCGCGAGCUGCAGGUCAAGCUGGAAGACUUUGAGAAGGUGAAGCUGAUCGGAAGAGGUGCUUACGGAGAAGUGCAGCUGGUGCGACACAAGGCCUCUCGGAAAGUUUACGCCAUGAAGAAGCUCAACAAGUUUGAGAUGAUCAAGCGCUCUGACUCGGCUUUCUUCUGGGAGGAGAGGCACAUCAUGGCCUUCUCCAACAGCCCCUGGGUCAUCCAGCUGUGCUGCGCCUUCCAAGAUGACCGCCACCUCUACAUGGUGAUGGAGUUCAUGGCGGGCGGCGACAUGGUCACGCUCACCAUGAACUACGACAUACCGGAAGAGUGGGCUCGCUUCUACACGGCCGAGGCGGUGCUGGCCCUGGACGCCAUCCACUCCCUGGGCUUCAUCCACCGCGACGUCAAACCGGACAACAUGCUGCUCGACCAACACGGCCACCUCAAGCUGGCCGACUUCGGCACCUGCAUGAAGAUGGACUCUAAGACAGGCAUGGUACGCUGUGACACCGCCGUAGGCACGCCCGACUACAUCUCCCCCGAGGUGCUGCAGUCUCAGGGGAGCGAGGGUCACUACGGGCGAGAAUGCGACUGGUGGUCCGUCGGGGUCUUUAUCUACGAGCUGCUAGUAGGUGUAACACCUUUCUAUGCUGAAUCCCUCGUGGGGACCUACGGGAAUAUUAUGAACCACAAGAAUUCCCUCUCCUUCCCGGAUGAUGUGGAAAUGUCCCAGGAGGCCAAAAACCUCAUCUGUGCCUUUUUAACUGACAGGGAGAUUCGUCUGGGCCGCACCGGAGUGGAGGAGAUCAAAAGGCACCCGUUCUUCAAGAGCGACCACUGGACCUUUGACAACAUCCGAGAGACUGUGGCUCCCGUCGUACCUGAGCUCAACAGCGACAUCGACACCAGCAACUUCGAUGAUUUCGAGGACGAUAAAGGAGCCGCUGAGACCUUCCCGCCGCCAAAAGCCUUCGUGGGCAACCAGCUUCCAUUUAUCGGCUUCACCUACUUCAAGGAAGACCAGCUGCUGAAGGCAAAGAAAAACAGCUCCGAGCAGGAUUGUGAGAACGAAAAGGAGAAAUUAGAGGAAAAGCAACAGCGCUCUGACAACAAGAAAGAACAACUGCAGAAAAAACUGAAUGAACUGGAGGAGCAGCUGGACCAUGAAAUGCAGGCCAAAGACGAGCUGGAGCACAAGUUCCGAAAUGCCACCAACCGUUUAGACAAGUUGGUCAAGGAAUUAGACAAGGAGAUGAACAACAGACAACGCGUGGAGGCCUCGCUGAGGCAGCUGGAGUGCGAGCGAGCGCUGCUGCAGCACCAGAGUACCGAGAACCAGCGCAAAGUCGAUAUUGAGACGGACAGGAAACGCGGACUGGAGAACGAAUUGAAUACCCUGAGGGACCAGUUAGAAGAUCUGAAGAAGAGGAACCACAAUUCACAGAUCUCCAACGAGAAGAACAUCCAGCUGCAGAAACAACUCGAGGAGGCGGCUGGGACUCUUCGGGCGGGACAGGAGGCCACGAGCAAGCUGAAGAAGAGCCAGGCGGAGAUGCAGAAACAGGUCCAGAGCCUGGAGCUGAGCCUGAGGGAGACGCAGGAGAAGUGCAAGCAGCUGGAGGAGACCAAAACGGAGCUGGAGAGGCAGCUGACGACGCUGCGGGCCGAGCUGGAAGCGGAGAAGAGGGAGCGGAGCGUCAAGAUGGAUGUUAUCGCUGACCUACAGAGGCAAACAUCUGGGCUGAAAGACGAGGUGAAAGAAAUGAAGUCAUGUCUCUCCACCGUCCAGACUGGAAAGAACCAACUGCAGGAGAAGCUCAUUGACCUUGAGAAGGAAAAGAGCAACCAAGAGAUCGAGCUGACGUUCAAGUUGAAGUCACUCCAACAGAGUCUAGAGCAGGAGGAGGCCGAACACAAAGCAACCAAGGCCAAGUUGGCGGAUGAAAACCAAAUCUACCAGUCCCUGGAGGUAGCAAAGUCUACGGCCUUAAAAGAGAUGGAGCACAGCCUUCAGGAGGAGCGCACGCUCAAGCAAGAGCUGGAAGCCAAGAUGCUGCAGCUGAAGAAAGAUUACUCCAUGCUGGACUGCGAUUACAAACAGGCACAGCACAAACAGGACGAGCUGCUCACGAGAAAGGAGAAAAUUUCCGAAGAGGUCAAGAACCUGAGCCUGCGCCUGGAGCAGGAGGUCCACCAACGCAGUUUGGCCCAGAGUGACCUGAAGAUGGAGAAACAGCAGGUGACCGUCCUGCACACCUCCGAGAAGCAGCUCAAGCAGGAGCUCAACCAGCUGCUUGAGAUUAAGCAGGUCUUGGAGAAACAAAACCAGGAGAUGCGCAGGGAGAAGCAAGAGUCGGAAGCUCUGCUGAAAGAUUUAAAGGACCAGCUGGAGGCGGAGCAAUAUUUCACGACCCUUUACAAGACGCAGAUCCGCGAGUUGAAGGAGGAGUGCGAUGAGAGCAACACUUUGUACAAGGAGGCUCAACAACGUCUGGAAGAAUACCAGGAGGAGAGGGAAUCGCUGGCCUCCCAGCUGGAAGUCAGCCUGACCAAGGCCGACUCGGAGCAGCUGGCCCGCUCCAUCGCCGAGGAGCAGUACUCGGAUCUGGAGAAGGCGAAGAUCAUGAAGGAGCUGGAGAUCAGAGACAUGACGGCCAGACAUAAACAGGAACUCGGCGACAAGGAGGCCACCAUUAGCUCGCUGGAAGAGUCCAAUCGUACCCUGACGGUGGACGUGGCCAACCUGGCUAGCGAGAAGGAGGAACUCAACAACCAGCUGAAAGAACUGCAGCAACAGCUCGAGGAUGCAAAGGAUGAGAAGAAGAACAUGAGCGCUCUCAUUGUGGGCUUUGAAAAACAGAUGCAGACUGAAAGGACGCUGAAGACUCAGGCCAUCAACAAGCUGGCCGAGGUGAUGAACCGGAGGGAGCCGACGAGGAGCGGCCACCGAGGCCCCGACACGGAGGUGCACAAGAAGGAGAAGGAGAACAAGAAGCUGCAACUGGAGCUGCGAUCGGAGAAGGAUAAACUCAACAGCACCAUCAUCAAAUUCCAGCGAGAGAUGUCGGAAAUGCAGGCGGUGAUAGCUGAGGAGAACCAAGUGCGUCAGGAGCUUCAGAUGACAUUGGCCAGCAAGGACAGCGACAUCGAGCAGCUCCGCUGUCAGCUGACCUCGCUCAGCGUCCACUCUCUGGACUCCAUCAGCAGCGGCAACGACCUGGACGAAGGCUACCCAGUGCGCAUUACUCAAUCACACACUUCGGAAUCAAUGUCCUUCACCUACCAGCGCACACACAAAUCGGUGCGCGUCGACACCCGGCCCGACAUCCGCUCGGCGCGUUCUCUCUUUGAUUCUGACUCUGAGGAGGAAGAAAAUGCUGAAAGUGACGAGCGGGGCCAGCGUCCCCUGGCUCUCACCUACCAGCAGCCUGAGCCUGACCUUGAAGAUUCCAGACUCGAGGGCUGGCUUUCAAUCCCAAACAAGCACACAAAACGGUUCGGCUGGGACAAAAAGUUUGUCGUGGUUAGCAGUAAAAAGAUUCUGUUCUACAACAGCGAGCAGGACCGAGAACAGGCCAACCCUUUCAUGAUUUUGGAUAUAGACAAGCUCUUUCAUGUCCGACCCGUCACUCAGACUGACGUGUACCGCGCCGACGCCGUGGAAAUCCCCCGGAUAUUUCAGAUCCUGUACGCCAACGAGGGCGAGAGCAAGCGUGAUCAGGUGGUCAUGGAGAGCACCCCCUUCGGCGAGCGCCCUUCCCACAUCAACCACAAGGGGCACGAGUUCGUCCUCACGCUUUACCACUUCCCGUCCAGCUGCGAGGCGUGCACUCGGCCGCUGUGGCACGUAUUUAAGCCGCCGCCGGCCCUCGAGUGCCGCCGCUGCCACGCCAAGUGCCAUAAGGACCACCUGGACAGAAAGGAGGAGGUCAUUGGGCCCUGCAAGGUGAACUACGACAUGUCCACGGCCAAAGAGUUGCUGUUAUUGACCGGGAGCCGGGAGGAUCAGAAGCGAUGGGUCAGCCACCUCCUCAAGCGCAUCCCCAGGAAGCACCCGCAGGCCGCCGCCGCCGCCUCCGCCCCGGCCCAUCUACCCGAGGCACCGGCCAGAUCCUCCCCCCGCGUUUCGCCCCGCCCGUCACCCAGGGGCUCGCCGCAGAUUUCGCCGCACCGCGGGGCCAUGAGACUGUCGUCCUCCAGAAAUCAGCAGCAGUCCGGGAAGGCCAGCGGCCCCAUGCUACGCAUCAUCCUCCACUGACCUCUUCACCCACCAUUCUAACGUUUCCCAUGCUUGGGAGACUAUUGCUUGAUUUUGACCUGAAAGACUUGAGGUGGUCGUUGGACGACACCGACAGUGAUGAUGAUAUGUUCUUCUGAAAGAAGGGGGGACGGAGGUUAACCCUGGCUCAGCGAAGAGAUUCUUCCUUGCGGAUGAUUGACAGCAGCGUGCCAAAAAAUGAAACGGAACUUUUUUAACCCGAGGAUCAAUCUUUUUCAGUAUGCCAAGUUGUCAUAACGACAUGGUGAACAAAAUUGGACUUUCACAUUUGGGUUUGAAGUGCAAGGGCUGUGUGUAUUGUAUAUAUCAAAUGAAGAGGACUUUUUUUUUUGUGGAUCAUAUCUUAGAAUGUUUAGAAAACACGGAUUGUAUUAUUUUUUAGGAGCGUUUAAUAUUACACAUCAGCACGGUGGGCUUGUCUGGGAAUUGUUUACAAAACAAAAUUGCACAUUCAUUUUGGGUCACCAGUUCAGUUUAUCCAAAAAAAAACAUUUGUCUUUUUAAAUGGAAACUCAAGCAAUCCCGUUUUUUUUUUUUUCUCCUAAUGGUCAAAUAAAAUUACAUAUCCAUCCA